GACGAACGCUGGCGGCGUGCUUAACACAUGCAAGUCGAACGGAAAGGCCCCCUUGUGGGGUACUCGAGUGGCGAACGGGUGAGUAACACGUGAGUAACCUACCCUUGACUUUGGGAUAACUUCAGGAAACUGGGGCUAAUACCGGAUAGGAGCUCCUGCUGCAUGGGGGGGGUUGGAAAGUUUCGGCGGUUGGGGAUGGACUCGCGGCUUAUCAGCUUGUUGGUGGGGUAGUGGCUCACCAAGGCUUUGACGGGUAGCCGGCCUGAGAGGGUGACCGGCCACAUUGGGACUGAGAUACGGCCCAGACUCCUACGGGAGGCAGCAGUGGGGAAUAUUGCACAAUGGGCGGAAGCCUGAUGCAGCAACGCCGCGUGCGGGAUGACGGCCUUCGGGUUGUAAACCGCUUUCGCCUGUGACGAAGCGUGAGUGACGGUAAUGGGUAAAGAAGCACCGGCUAACUACGUG
rnacentral:rRNA from 1 species